rnacentral:rRNA from 1 species
UACGUAGGGUGCGAGCGUUGUCCGGAAUUAUUGGGCGUAAAGAGCUUGUAGGUGGCUCGUCGCGUCGGGGAGUGAAAACCCGCGGCUUAACCGCGGGCCUGCUUUCGAUACGGGGCGGGCUAGAGUUCGGCAGGGGGAGACUGGAAUUCCUGGUGUAGCGGUGGAAUGCGCAGAUAUCAGGAGGAACACCGGUGGCGAAGGCGGGUCUCUGGGCCGAUACUGACACUGAGAAGCGAAAGCGUGGGGAGCGAACAGG